CCCCCCACCUUCCCACCCCCAGCCAUCUUUCUGGUCCUGACUUCUAUUUUCUUAGUUGUUUCCCUACCUCAGAUGCCAGUAGCAGUCGGGUAGGGGCUGGAAACAGCACGGUACUUUCUCCAACCUCCCAAGAAGAUCUUUUCAGAAACUUCUUCUCAGGUCAAGCCAGAAUUUUUGACUUUGUCGUAGAACCCUCAGGCGAAUCAGUAUGAAGCAGGAUUAGAACUUACUAGAAAGAAAGAUUUUAACAUACGCGUCAGUAGUGAUGUUAACAGUGACAUACUUUGGGAAAGGGUAUUGUGUACCUACGUGUAGUGUAGGCUUCUCAAGGGAGUCAUGUCUAAGUGGCUUUACAAUGUGUGCUUUUGGUGGCUCCUAGAGUUGCAUCUCAAAAGGCUGUGCCCUGAGGAUGCUACUUCAGGGAUGUAUACAAUGUAAGAAUGUGUGGAAUAGUAAUACAUUCAGACCGGUUUCGGUGACAACAGUUUACUACAGAUUUCCACUUAAUCCCUGAUGGAGGUGACCACAGACUCCUUUAUUCUAAUCUUCAUUACUAAUAUCAACUCUCAGAUUACUCAUUACAGAUCACCCAGCAUAUAUAAAUACGUAUGUAUGCGCGCAUGCACGCACGUAUGUAUCUUCGCUGCUGUAGAGUUCAUGGGGUUUCAGAAGUCUUGAGAACGAGGAAACUGGUGAAAGUAAAAGUAAGUCCACCGGUAGG
rnacentral:sRNA from 1 species